rnacentral:lncRNA from 1 species
GACCAUCUACUAAAUGCAUCAAUUAAUACCAUGAAAUAUCUGAAUGGUCCAGACAGUGGAUGGAUAGGUCCACAUAUAUCACCUUGAAUCCUUUCAAGAAAUGCAGAUGAUUCUGUAUGAAUCUUGCCUGGUGAAUGUUUUGUUAUUAGUUUGCCAAGAGAAUAAGCUUCACAUGAUCUAUCCUCUUUUGUAAACUUUAAACCUUUCAAAGGAUGACCAUGAGUACUUUCAAUUAUUUUUCGCAUCAUUGUUG